CAAGCUUUGUUUAUUCCAGAUGCUCUCACUUACUUUCAUCCAAUAACAUUUCUCUUUCACUUUUCCUUCACGUAGGUAUCACCUUCUUCCACUUUCUCUCUGGCCAAAAACACAACCUACUUCCACUGGAUAACCACUAAAACAACCUCCCUAAUUCACCAUAUCCGAUCCGUUAACAAAACUGGAUCUACUUCUCAUUUCAACACUAACACAAACUCAACAACAACCAACAACCGUGACAACAAUAUUCUUGUUCUCUCAUUUAUGCAACUAUGAGUUUGACCGAUCCGCACCACCAUUACCAAGUCGUGAUCUGGAUCCGUUGCCUUCAAAUCUACUGGACUUAAGUGCUCUACUAUUAGAGUAUUUGGUCAGUAUGAGUCUUUCAAACCCACAAUCAAAAGUAAGGUCAAAAAGCAUUUCGUCAGAGCUGAAAUGGAUUAAAGUGGCAAACAUGCUUUAUCUUGAUUCUUCUGCUGGAGUUGGUUUUUCUUACUCCACCAACAGUUCUGACUUCUGACAUUUGCUUAUUACUCAUGAAAUGACAGCAAGGGAUCAACUUGUUUUCCUUCGGCAUUAAUUCAACAAAUUCCUAGAGUUCAAGACAAAUGAGUUCUUCAUUGCAUGAAAGAGCUAUGCAGGUCACUUUAAAACUCAGCUUGCACAACUCAUCCUAGAAAUAAAAUUCGAAGUCGCAAUCAAAAGUCAGGUUAAAAAGCAUUUGGUCAGAGCUAUAAUGCAAACGCAAGAGAUUAAUUUGAAAGUACUAAUAACAUCUUGUUUCUCUUUCACCAUAUUUUCUUCUCACCUUCUCUACUAUAUAAACACCCUCCUCUCCUGUACUUCCAUUAUUCUAAAUUAUUAUACUCAGUCUAACUCUCCUCCUCUCUACCACUUCUAUCUCAUAAUACAUUAUAUUUUGUUCCAAAUAUGACUCUCCCUAGCCUGUUUGUAUUCAUUUUUAUCUUUUUCAUAAUUUUUUCUUCUAUUUAUGGAAGUGACAAAAUAACAAGGUUGCCUACUUAGUCUAGAGUAAAAUUCAACCAGCAUGCAGGUUACAUCACCAUUGAUGUAAAUCACGGUAGAAAACUCUUCUACUACUUUGUGGAUGCAAAAAAAUCAUCCCGCCACAAAACUCAUCCUGAGGUUCUGCCUCCACAAAGUAGUAAAAGAGUUUUCUUUCAGUGGUUUACAUCAAUGGUGAUGUAACCUGCAUGUUGGUUGAAUUUUACUUUUGGCUGAGUAGAUAACCUCGUUAUUUUGUCACUUCAACAAGUAGAAGAAAGAAAUAUUAAAAAGAUGAAAAUGAAUAAAAACAGACUAGAAAAUAUCAUAUUUGGAACAUAAUAGAAUGUAUUAUGAGAUGAAAGUGAUAGAGAGGGGGAGUUAAAUAGGAGAAUAAUAGUUUAGAAUAAUGGAAGUAGAGGAGAAGAGAAAUGUUUAUAUAAUAGAGAAGGUGAUGAAAAGAAAAUGGUGAAAAAGAAACAAAAGAAGAUAUUAUUAGUACUUUCAAAUUCAUCUCUUGCGUUUGCAUUUUGGCGUCGUAAUAUAAUUUCGAGUUUUGGCGUAUCUUCUGCGUUUACGUUUUGAAUGUGAUGACAACUUGUUAAUUGUAUUUGCUUAGUUUUCGCCUUUUUUUUAAAAAGCGGUAAAGAAUAUUGUAAUAAUUAUGCUUUACAUGAACUACUGCAUCAUGUGAUGACAGACUUUAUUUAUGUCAUAUAUUUACUCUCCAAUAAGUAGUAUAUUUUAUUAAAUCUUUAAAAGGCAUGUAGGCUUAGUCAAGAAUGAUGUGGAAUCACAAAUUCUUUGCUCAUUAAGUAUUUAAUUUUGUGCAAUAAGUAAUUUCACAUGUGUCCCCCACUUAAUUUACUUUUUGAAAUACAGAAAUUACAUUAGUCCUUUUAUUUUUUACUUUUUCAAAUACCGAAAGAAGUGUUAUUAGUGAUUUUAGUAGUUUUAUUUCGCUUGUCCCAAAUUAAUUUUUCA